CGAUAAACACGGCCCCUAGGAAGCAUCUGCUGCUGCAUCAAGGGAAGCGGUUGCUGAGGUUGCACUGGCCCUGCUCCAAAUCUCCGGCUUCCUGGGCGCUGGGCCGGCUGACCUGGUUGGACCAUUGGAACGAAAAAAUUUGGCCUCAUUCCAGGAACCAGUUGCUGCUGAUACCCAAACCCAGGCUGGGGAGGGAGGAUAGCAGGAGGGCUUUGCCCAUAGAAUAGUUGCUGUCCAAUACCUGGAGUUCCAGGAGGAUAGAUAGGCAUACGAGGACCAACUGCAGGUGCCAUUGCAGAAGAACGCAUUUGUGAAAACUGUGCCUGCAACCUUGCUCUUCGUUCUUCUUUCCGUUGUGCAAGUGCAACAUACAAUGGUUUGCUAACUACCAUUUUACCAUUCAUCUCCGCGAGAGCUCGAGAUGCUUCUUCAGCAGUUGAAAAGGCAACAAAACCUGAUCCUCUACUUACACCACUUGGGUCACGCAUAACCUUGCAUGAAGUAACUGUUCCAAAUUCUGAGAAUAGAUCCUUCAGCUUAUCGUCAGUGAUGCUAUCAUCUAGGUUCUUAACAUAUAGAUUCAAUCC
rnacentral:misc_RNA from 1 species